rnacentral:rRNA from 1 species
GCGCGAAAACUUUACAAUGCAGGCAACUGUGAUAAGGGAACCCCGAGUGCCCGUAUGGACGGGCUGUUCAGGUGCUUAAAAACCACCUGGAGAAAGGGCCGGGCAAGACCGGUGCCAGCCGCCGCGGUAAUACCGGCGGCUCGAGUGGUGGCCACUAUUACUGGGCUUAAAGCGUCCGUAGCUUGGUCGUUAAGCCUCUGGGGAAAUCUUCCGGCUCAACCGGAAGGCGUCUCAGGGGAACUGGCGACCUAGGGAUCGGGAGAGGUGAGAGGUACUCUGGGGGUAGGAGUGAAAUCCUGUAAUCCUCAGGGGACCACCUGUGGCGAAGGCGUCUCACCAGAACGACUCCGACAGUGAGGGACGAAAGCUGGGGGAGCAAACCGGAUUAGAGACCCGGGUAG